UACGAAGGGGGCGAGCGUUGUUCGGAUUUACUGGGCGUAAAGGGCGCGCAGGCGGUCUUGAAAGUCAGGCGUGAAAGCCCCGGGCUUAACCUGGGAAUUGCGCUUGAUACUGUGAGACUGGAGUACGGGAGAGGAGAGUGGAAUUCCCAGUGUAGAGGUGAAAUUCGUAGAUAUUGGGAAGAACACCAGUGGCGAAGGCGGCUCUCUGGACCGUAACUGACGCUGAGGCGCGAAAGCGUGGAGAGCAAACAGG
rnacentral:rRNA from 1 species